UACGCCGGAGAAGAAACACCAGGAAAGCUAAUUAGAAAUUGAAAUGACGAUCGCGAGCAGAAAAUCAAUUUCACCUCUCUCUUUUUUUUUUGGUUUUUUUUCUUAAGUUUUUGUCUCCUUGAUUUCAAUAUAUCUCUCUUU
rnacentral:sRNA from 1 species